rnacentral:tRNA from 1 species
AUAUUUUAAAGAAUUAUAAUCUUCCUUGAUAUCUUCAAUAUCACACUCUAUAUAAGCUAUUAAAAUA